rnacentral:snRNA from 1 species
AAGGGUUACAGGUCUUUUAGAAUUUGUUUGGCAGGUUUUCCAGGUUUUACCAGAAAACUCCA